rnacentral:rRNA from 1 species
UACGGGGGGGGGGCAAGCGUUGUUCGGAAUUACUGGGCGUAAAGGGCUCGUAGGCGGCCAACUAAGUCAUACGUGAAAUCCCUCGGCUUAACCGGGGAACUGCGUCUGAUACUGGAUGGCUUGAGACCGGGAGAGAUGAGUGGAAUUCCCAGUGUAGCGGUGAAAUGCGUAGAGAUCAGGAAGAACAUCGGUGGCGAAGGCGCUCUGCUGGACCAUAACUGACACUCAGGGACGAAAGCUAGGGGAGCGAAUGGG